UACGUGCCAAAAAGUUUCUAUACGAAACAAUUUCUUUGGCCAUUCAACUAGGGAAUGCGCGUAGCAUUCUUGGAACACAACCGAAAAAAGAAAAGCUUAACGAAAUUUAUAACUUAUAAUUACCAUAAGAAGGAACAAAGUC